GUAGUGUAACAGUGUCUGAAUGACACGUGUUUGCUUUCGUUUUUUCGGUGUCCGUCUUUCGCUAGACCUUGGCACAGGUUUCUUCCCCUUUUUCCCUUUUCCGUGCUUGGCUGUGAUCCGCUUCGCCGUUUCCGCACACCCACCGCUCUCUUCGUUGUGGCUCGCUCCUGAGUUCCUGUCCUACGCUGGCACAUCUUCCCUUUGAGGACUCGGUGGCGAGCAUGUCCGCAUGUUGGGGUGUGUGUUCGCGAGCUUUCUUUUCGCCUCCUCCGUCGCGGAUGAGGAUGGUCUUGAUCCCUGCUGCCGCGCAUCAUUGCCAAAAAUAAAAAAGACAGAUUUGAGCCCCUGCGCACCCGGACCUGCACAAUCGACACCUAAAACGCGUAUAUUUCUUGCUUUCGUUUUUCCUUCGUUGUGUCAGGCACUCUGAGCACCGUGCGCACAUGUUAGGUAGCAUCACGAAGAAGCAGGAGAGCAAAGUAGAAGAUCGAAAAAGAGGAGGGAAUCAGCCUCCCUUUUUUUUCUCUCGGCGAACCCUUCUCGCUUUUUUUUUCACCGCUCCGCAUGUCUGCGUCGAUGCACACAACUUGAGUCCUUCUCCCUCCCACGCACUACAUACAUAUGCAUAUAUGUAUGCAUAUGUACGUAUCUGGAUGCUACCGUUUGCUUUUUCGUUUUCUAUAUUCUUGUAUGUAAUCGUGUGUGCGUCUGCUUGUCUUUUUUUACGAGCGCGAUUGACGGCUCUGCGUGCGUCAUUUUUUUUUUCAAUCUUUUUCUGUGUGUGUCUAUUUCUCUCUAUAUGCACAUCAUUUGGCACGCCAUACUGGCACACAGAGGCAGACACGGACACCAGGAAUUCAACCCAUAGAUGUGCCGAGGACCAAAGGGGGUGCGAGAGAACAUGCUUGCCGACUUGCGUGUCGUCAGCAGAAGCCGGCGCAUGUACUUCACUUGCUUCUCCCCCCUCCAUCGUUGUACAUCGAGUAGUGGGCAUUUCUCGAGCGUCCUUGUGCCCUUGUGUGUGUGUGUGUGUGUGCGAAUGUGUGUAUGUGCGCCUCUGCCCGUGCAUUCUCAAUCGUGAUUCUUCGGUUUUCUCCCUCUUCCUCUUCAACUCGCCCCCCUCCCCCGCCCCUCCCUCACCGCUUCUAUUGUACUCUGUUAAAUCGCCUUUCUGUCCUCUUUCGAGCCCUUCAAAAACACACACGCACACACCUUUCCUAAUGUGAGCGUACCUCCCUCCUCCAAAUUUGCUUUUUGGCGCUUUUUGAGUGUGCGCCCUUCCAUCUAUGUCACAAUGAUCGCAUUUCGCCUUUUUUCAUGUUCUCAAGUUGCUCUUUCGCGCCAUUCCUUUUCAAGUUCUUCUUUCUCUGCUGCAGGCUUUGGCCUUCCCUAUCUCUCCCCGUGGGCCUCUCUCUCAUCUCGCUAUGUUCUCCCUCCACUUACCAGGAAGCCGUUGCUGUUCUCAGCCCUCCCCCCUGAGAGUGCAUGCUUGUGUGAUUCGGCGCUGCUCACGGUAGCGGGCAAGGAAAGCGACAAGAAACAAAGUACAAAACAAAACGCACCGCUGAAUGCACUGUGGCCGAGGAUUCUUGUAUUCAGCGUUGUCUUCUCGUCACUGCUUCCCUGCCUGAUAACGACGGCCGCCUAACCGCGGUAUCAGGCUGCAGUGCCCCGCUCUUGGUGUUGACAAGACAGGCCAUAGCGGGCUCGGUAUCGAAGAGACGUGCAGUCCCGUAUACGCCGAGAACACCCCACUACGAGCUGUGCUAUUUACCUGGCGGCAGUCUUCCCACACCGGAAGUGCAAGGACGCUGCGCUUGCGAGGCGACGGGAGACCAUGCUCGCUCAGUCCCGCACCGGCGCCUGCCCGCGCCGCGGAUCCCUGCAACGGCGGGUGACUGGCAGUGGCGGCAUGGGGUGCGGAUGGUGUGCUGCCUACUGCUGCGCUGGCGCAUGCUUCUCCGCGGGCCCCCUUCCUCUCCACACACCCACGCCUGCGAAAGGCCUGUGGGCUCAGCAGAGGGCGGGAUGCCCCCUGCUGCCUUGCCACACACGCAUAGCGCGCCCCACCUGUGGGACGGCACGUGUGGUCAAGCGGGCCAGCCACGCCCUCUCCCCCACCCCCAGGCAGCAGCGUCGUCCUGAAACAGGCACCGAGGGCGCAGGAAUGCGAGCACUGUGCGCAGGUGCUGCCAAGCACAGCCGGCAUGCCGUAUCACACCCAGACAAGGCAUGCGCACGUGAGCAGAGCAGGAGCGAUGGGCGAACAAGGCGCGAGGAGACCCAAUAUACGAAUCAGCCGCCGCCCCCCUACUCGGCGCAUGUGUGCGGAGCGUGCGGUGACCUCUACGUCCGGCCGGGCCUGCGCUGAUGAGGCGCAGAUGCCGGAAGCAUGACGGAAGCACCCUCGAAUGGCACCAGCGAGUCCUCCAGACGCGCAUGAGGCGAGUCCCCACGCCACAUUACGGCAUGCCGCGGCUUGUGGCGACCGAGGGAGAGGCAUGGCAUGCAGGCAGGGCGUGCAAGGUCUCGGAGGGCCCUGGCCUGCGUGUGACCGACUUCCUUGCUGCGCUCGCCCGGCAUGCCCCCUUGAUCGCCACCCCCUUCUACCCGCACGGCAGACGCCACGGCCUCCGCCCACGAGCGGGACCCUGAAGGCGGCCCUGCUUGGAUCAGGGCAUGCGGUCCACCCAUGCGCGUGUGUCGCCGAUUGCGCAGCACACAUCCAAAGGUGAACAACGACACUAAGAGCCCAUCAGGUGCGUGCCCGAUGGCGAUGGAAGGAUUGCUCCUCCUGGACGACGAGAACUUGGCCGUGAUGAAACAGAGACAUGAAAACUGUGUUUGUAUGCGACUAUUGGGUGACUGAUUUGUGACGGAGUGGCUAGGUGAGGGAGAAAAAGAAAUUCCCUGUCGCCGUGUCUGUGUUGUGUUCUCACAGUGGCUUCGUUUUAUUGUUGGUGGUGUUCUUGGUGGGUACAUUGCUGCUAAGCUGUCUGGGUAGAAUUUUUUUCUCCCACUGGCGCUCGCUGUGAAGUAGUUUCCCGUUUUUUUUUUCGUUUGUGUUAUCGGUGUCUUGUACAAAGCAGCCAUUCACUUGUCGUCUGCCCCGAACGCCGUGUCGCGCGUACACACCCACUUAAACCUUGUGCCGUUUUUUUUUCCACCUCGCCUGCCGUCUACUGUUGUUUUUCGUUCGUUUUUUAUUUGUAUGGAUAGCGUCUACAAAUAUGUCGAUGCAUAUGUGUGUACUUCUCUCCUGUCUGUCGAGCUUUUACGUCCCCUUCUUCGUUUUUCUUGUUCCUUUUAGUCUUUCCUCUCACCAUAAACAGCGAGUACCAUGAGUGGUGGCUAUGUGUGCUGCUUGUGUGGCACCUUCGCGCCGCUGUCCACGACGUCUCAGGCACCAACAUGUACGAGCGCACAUCUUUUUCUUUGUAUGCUCUCUUGCUCUCUUCGCAGGUGCUUUCUUUCUUGCUUCUCCGGUGUUGUUCGUUCAGCGACUCACACCUCUUUUUUUUUUUCGCUCUCUCACAACUUACCUGCCCUUCCCUUUACACGUUUUAUGUUGGCGCAACUUUCACUGGUUCACACAGGUCGACCAUCAGUAGACAUCAUGUUUUUCAUCUGUGAGUUUCAUAGAUGCGCUGGUCGUGAUGUUCACAGAACGGGUGCAUGCGUGUGUACUUUCGAUUUCCCUUGACGCCUUGGUCUCUCCCUCUGCAGGUGCGCGAGCACUCUGGUAGGUGUAGGUGUGUGUGUGUGUGUGUGUCCUUGCUGGAGUUGUGUACUUCUCUUAGUAUUAUCAUUAUGUGCCGUCGUAAUAUGUUUUGGUGCCGCUGCACUCACGGCUUCCGUUUGUCGUCAUGCUAACUUUGCGUUCCGGCGGUCCCGCUAUCCCCUCCGCCCUCCUCCUCCUCCUCCUCCUCCUCUCUCUGACUGAGCCUUUUUUGCGGUCGUCUUUUUUUUUUCGCUCGUGUGCGUUGUGUGGUUUGCCGUUCUGCCCGUGUGCGUCUUCAGUUCCUUUACCGAGUGUCUGUGCCAGUGCAAGGCACAGGAUCAAGCGAAACGAAGCCGACGAGGAAAGAAAGAAAAGUAGAGCAUCACUCUGCGUGCUCGGUCCGACAUUCGAAGAAACUGGGUAAAUCACCUCUGGGGAGGCUACGGCAGUGGAGCUGGUGUGCACGAUGUACGCGUGCACACCUGCAUGGGGCGAAAAGAAAGACCGAGAGGGGCUCUGCACACACAUAGUUCUCGAUUCGCCACUUGAAGACACCGCUCUUCGACAGACGUCGGCGAUGCGGAGGGACUUCACAAUGACGCACAUCAUUCUUUUCUCUCUCCUUGGUCUUGAACCAUUCAUGAAGGCAUCCAAUGCAGCUGUGGUGCGCAGAGCCAUUCAAAGCAGUGAGGCGCAGCCACAACAGCAACAACAACAACAAAAAAACAUACAAACUUCACGAAGCACUUCGUAAGGGUGAAAGCUGAGGCGGAGCCGAAGGGCGCACUAACCAGGCAUGUGAGUCGUGCGAAGUGCUGGUGCCUCUAAUUCACCUCCUCCCUCUAACACGGCAGUGCACGCGGAAAAAAAAGGGGCUGGGAAUCCUGUGCGGCUUCAUGUCCUACCUCGUUCUCUUUUCACGCUCACCCGCUGCCCCUUCCUUUCUUCCUUCCUCUCUCUCGCCUUGUCUUCUCCGUCUGCCCCACCCCUGUUUGCACAUCGACAUGGGGAUAUUUUGUCAUGGCCUUCGAAG
rnacentral:misc_RNA from 1 species